CUGGGAACCGCACGAUCGCAAAUCCGACUCGCCGGUCGAUUGGCCGGCUAGGGAUUGCGGUAGUGC
rnacentral:ncRNA from 1 species